UCCAAGGGGUAAGGGAAUUAUUACCUUGUGCACCACUAAUCUGGCACCAUUCUGCCUUUUCUCCUUAUUUCUGCAAGCUUUGGAUCAUGUUGUACCCCUGCUUUUUGUGCAGAUUUUUUUAGGUGAGACUAUUUGUUAUUGAUGCCGACACCAUCUCUGCUGUUUUAGUUCUCAGACAGACUCUCCUCAAACUGUUGGCUGCUUAGAACCGGAAAUCAUUGACCUACUUUGACUUGACUGCUGCCUCCCUUAUCUAAGUUGACAGUAUUUGCUCUAUGACUGCUGACAUCUCCUUUCCUCUGUGUCUUCCCUUUUAUUACCCUUCUAGCAUGUGGUUUACCACAUCCUGGCAGUGUGCAUUCUAACCUCAUCCUAUGAUCUGAUACAGACUGGGUCAGAGAAGAUGGUCAGGCUAAUGCAGAUCCUCAUUCCAAACACACAUCAUUACUCUCUUGUGCUGGCUUACAUUCAUCUCUCCAUGUGAUGGUAUUCUAGGUUGAAUAUCCUAACAAGUGCUUAAUUGUGUAGUAAAGGAUACCAGGUAAUGGGGUGGGGGUGUAGGGGGGAGACACAAAGAAUUUCAAGUAAGUAUUUUAGGGGAAAGAGUACACUGAUGAAUGUGUGUUGGAAAUUUUCCAGAGAAUCUGAGUAUAGAAGUAGCCUUUUUCAGAAUUCAGAAUUGAAACUCUGAUGUAAAACAUAUACUGUUUAUCCAACCUGCCACUUUUCAGUGUGAGAGAGUUUUACAGGACCUACACGCAAAAUUCAUUAGUGUUAUGAAACUGUAACUACAGUGAGAUCAAGGACUGACUGUCUUGUAUCCGUUGUAUCCUAUAAAGUCAUGGUUCCUGCAACAAACAGAUGACAUACGGUAAGUCAGAAAGAGAAAAAGAAUGUCUUUAUGAAGAGUUUUGGGUUAAGAGAAACCAACAGGAGAUGGUAAAACAUCUGUAACUCUUGUGACAGUUAAUAGCCUCUACUGUCCUCACACAUGAAAGGACAGAGGCACUGAGUGGUUACCAGAACCCCAGGAGAGCUGUAGCUUUAGGAGGGGGAGUUUUAGCAUUGAUUCUAGCCCUGACAAUAGGAUCUUAGGUGGAGGUCAUGGCAGCUGCACCAUCAUCAGUCCCCCUGUUAAUUCUGUUCCUUCAUAUCCUUCCAAUAAAUUUCUUUCCCAUUUAAGGUAAUCAGCAUUUGUUUCUAUUAUUUGCAUAGGAAAAAAAUUUUGUAUAUUUGUUCAAAGGACCCAAGGAUACGAGAUGAAAAUUUAUCUUUCUUCUUUAAAAUUCAGAAAAAGGAUGCUGCUACCACCUUUUUGAAGGAAAACGUUUCUGUAGAAUCCUACUUAGGUCAGUUUUUAAUAGCUAAAAAUGAACAUUCAGAUAUACAAAAUGAAGCUAAUAUUCUCAAGCCCACUUACACAAAAGUUGUUUAUUUCAGUAGUUGAAAUCUAUUAAGCAUAAUCGUGUUAAAUCUGAGUGAGGCAAGAUCCAACAUGGAUUUUAAAGGUGAUCCAACAUGGAAGUCCUCAUAGGAAAUACAAGAUUCACAAUCCAGAAAGUCAUGGACAGUCCCUGGAGGUACCUUACUCUUCUUAUUUGCAUAUGUGGAAACCCUAAACCUUCAACUUGUAACCUCUGUAUACUGGACUAGGCUCUUGAGGCCUUAGAGAGGGCUAUUAGUGGCAUGAAAUUGGGGAAAUCCUCCAUUAGGUCACCAACCAACAGAACAUCAAAAUUGUUCUGUGUCCUAAGCAGUUAAGGCAAAUUUAUUUACCUGGUGGGAUUAACUUCCUUUCAGAUAAACCAUCCCUGUGUCUUAACUCAAGUACAACAGACUCUUUUUUGUGUCUUCUUCCAGAAAUCAUUUACCUUUGAAUAGCUGCUCCACUCACUGGUUAUGUGACCUUAGGGUAGUUAUUCAAUGCCUUUGCAUAUCAUAUUUUUUCUAUCUGCAAAAUUGAGAUACUUAGAGUAGUUAUUUUAUACAUUGGAAAGGGGAAUUAGAAUGACUUAAUUCAUGCAUUGGUACUUACAACCCUGCUGGACCUAAUGAAUGCUCCAUAAAUGUUAGCCAAAAGAUCCAGAAAUGUGACUAGCAAAUAACAACCAAAAAAUACAAGGAAGCAAUUUAGAAAAGCAAGAGUGGAGGCAAAGAAGAGCCAUGGACAUUGAUAAAUUGUUGAGUCUGAUCCCUAUACAUUCAUCUUUAGUGAACCAUCUACUGUAUUGACUACACAAUUCACUGUGUUUGUUAUAAGUAAACAAACCAGCAAAAAGAAGUAAACACAGAGCAAACACUUAGGAGCGACAUAACUUUUUUUUUUUUUUGUAGUAUAAAGAUGGGACAGGGAUUUCUUUCAGAAGGCUUUGUAAAUAGGACACUGUAUGAUGUAAUGAACAAUGUCCUUGGCAAUAGCUUUACAAUGAGUGAUGAGUUCCACAGGGCUGUUUAUUUUUUAACAACACUCAAACUAGGUCAAUGGCAUGGGAGUGAAGUUUGCUUCACUAAAAAGAUAGCAUCCUGCUACGUACCAAGUGGAAGAGGUCCUGGAUAUGGUAGAGAGAGAAGAGUUGGAAAUGGGGGAUUGAUUGAUUUGCCCUCUCAGAAGAGAGAGAAGCUACUCAAUGACUCGGGGAAUGGUCGUCAGACCUAAAAAGGUGAAAGUGAGUUCAUCGAUUGGGAAAUGAAUGAACUGGUCAAAAUAAUAGAAAAAUAUAAGGGUUUUGGGACAUAUGAAAUAUGGCUGGUAGAGAAAGGAAUGAACACUAGCCAAUCCUAAAUAAAGAACAGAUUCAUUUCUGAGCUCUUGACUUUUGUAAGAAAGGAGCAAGGCACAAAAUCUGCAUUUCUGUCUUUGACAUGGGUCCUUACCUCCCAGCUUUCAACUUCAGACCACAGGCUUUGAAUGCUUAGAAUUUAAUCUGCAGCAUGUUGGAUGUUUGACAACUUUUGGGGGCUGAGGAAGCUGUCAGAGUAAAUUGUCUUCAUAAUGCAAGAGAGAAGCCAAGCAAAUGUGCACACUCAGCUAGAAAAACAGCAUUGUGCUCCAGCAGCCCACUGGAUUAAGGAGAUGUAUUGGUCAAGGGUGAAUUUCCAAGGACAUGCCUUCAGAAUUUCAUUGCAGUUCUUUGGUUUUUGCAUAUAAGUCAGUUUCAUUUUCCUGGGGCAAUGCUUUUAUGAUGCACAAAUCUACAUUUAGUAAAGGAAUGAGCCAUUCUGGUGGUAGUAAUUUUUCAAAUUAUUGCAGAAAUUGUUUCUUCCUUAUCUUAGGUCAGUCACCUUUAACAUUUAAAUGCUGACCUUUAGCAUAUGAGAGUUUAGCUGUUAUCAAUAUCUUUCACUGUUAAAAUGGAUUUCGUGAUCCGUGGAGUAUUUAAAGCUCCAUUUUUAUUUUAAAUUCUAGCACUCUGAUAAUGAAAGUAAAAUAAGCUAAUGCGAAUUUUACUUUGAUUCUUAACUAAUAAAGAGAUUUACUUCCACUUUUGAAAUAUUUCUUUUGGGCCAUUUUUUCAACAACAGUGAUCACUUUGGAAGGGAGGCAAAAAACUCGGUUUGUACUUUUCACUGAUUGCAUGUCACAGCAAGAUAUUUUACAGCUUGAGUGUGUCUCUGACUUUGUUCUAAAUAUUUUCAUCAGAAAAUAUAAUGAUAUUAUGUUAAAGGAAACAAAAAUAAAUGACAACAUGAUGCUUAAUCCUAUCAACCCUAGAAAGCAAUGUCCUUUUUACUGGCCACUUUUUAUUUGCAUGAAUAAAUUUGCAUAAUUCCAAUUACGGCAUAUAGACAGAUAGUUGCAUUCUACUCUUUUCACUCAAUAUUAUAAAAUAGCCGUGAUUUUACUUAGAUGUCAUCAUUGCCGUUUUAAAGCAUGCCUUGUAUUUUGUGGCAUAUGUGUAGUAUUUUGUUUUGUUGUUCAACAUUUGUGUCAGUAAACCAGUCUGAAAAUUAGUGGCUUAAAAUAAACCCAUCUAUUUAGUUCUCAGGACUAUGGGUCAGCAGUUUGAGCUGAGCUGAGCUGGAUAGUUCUGGUCUUAGCUGGGACCUCCCAUGUGUCAGUAGUCACCUAGAUGUCUUUGCUUUGGGGACUUGGCUUUUUCAGCUAGAGCUAGUGGGGUACCCGUACCACAAGUUUUGGCUCGCCAGCACACUGACCAUGGGCCUGUCUACCUGGUGGCUGUCAGGGUACCAAAGGAAAAACGAAGAGCUUAGGUUGGAACUGAACAAACUCAUUUUCAUGGUUUUCUUUUGGCCAAGCUAAGCCUGAGGUCAGCCCAGAUUCUGGUGGCGAGAAAGUAAGUACAACUCCAUUUCCUGAUGUUGGAGCUGCAAAGUCACAUUGCAAAGAGCAUGACUAAAAGAAAGGGUAAAAAUUUGUAUACAUAUUGCAACUUUUAGUAUUUCUAUUGUAAUUAACAUUUCAGUGAACUUCAUUGUACUUAGAGCUUUUGUUUGCUUGCUUCUACUGAGUAAUAUCGCUAACAUAAAAAAAAAAAAAUUUCAGGAUAAAUUCCUGGGAGUGGAAUAGUAAAGGAGAGGUAAGAAUAUCAUUAUGAUAAUAUCCAACGAAUAGAGAGGCUUGAGUACUUUUCUUCAGUUUCAGCAACUAAGUUCUCGCUUUUUGCAGUCUCAUCCCUCUGCCCUAUCCCAUUCUGCCCUUUCUCUAAAAUAAAUAUAGUAUACAGUAUUGCUAAUGGAAUUUAGUAAGUGCUCAGUAACUGUAGCUAUUAUUAUUAUUUCCGUUAUUAUUAUAACUUAUUAAUUUGCUUUCUAUCACCAGACUUUCUGCAGCUAUGUUACCUUCAGUUGUUCUUUCUCUGUUCUAGGAUUGGUUGAUCAUCAGUUUAUUCAUUAAAAAGAAAUUACAUUAUGGAGUUCCCGUCAUGGCUCAGUGGUUAACGAAUCCGACUGGGAACCAUGAAGUUGUGGGUUCAAUCCCUGGCCUUGCUCAGUGGGUUAAGGAUCCGGUGUUGCUGUGAGCUGUGGUGUAGAUUGCAGAUGCAGCUCGGGUCCUGCGUCACUGUGGCUCUGGUGUAGGCCAGUGGCAACAGCUCUGAUUCGACCCCUAGCCUGGGAACCUCCAUAUGCCAUGGGAGUGGCCCAAGAAA
rnacentral:lncRNA from 1 species